AGACUGACUUAGACUUAGGAGAG
rnacentral:piRNA from 1 species